rnacentral:tRNA from 1 species
AGCAGAGUGGCUCAAUGGAAAGAGCCUGGACUUGAGCAUCAGAGGUCGUGGGUUCUAAUCCCUACUCCGCCG